rnacentral:rRNA from 1 species
AUGGAACUGGACAUGUAUAACAUGGUGGUGCAGGCGGACGGCAGCGUCACAUACCAGCUGACCGACCCAACAACGUGGGGCGCGUGGGCACACGAGGGGCAUCGGCUGUGGGCGUCCAUGUCGGAGGAUUUCUGGCUCUACGAGUACAAGGUGCGACGGUGCCCGCAGCCGUACAGCCACGACUGGACGGCAUGCCCGUACGCGCACAAGGGCGAGCGUGCCCGCCGCCGUGACCCGCGCCGCUUCAACUACGUCGCCAUCUCCUGCCCGGAGUAUCGCGCCAAUGCGCACGCGCACGCGCAGCUCGGGCUCGCCGGCGCCGGUCACCCGCCGCCGACCUGCGCGCGAGGGCUCAGGUGCCGCUACGCGCACGGCGUCUUCGAGUUGUGGCUGCACCCGUCCCGGUUCCGCACGCGCAAGUGCGAGGCAGGCACGCGCUGCCAACGCCGGAUCUGCUUCUUCGCGCACUUCACCCGUGAGCUCAGGGGCGAGGACCCGGUCGCCGCGUUCGCUGCCGCCGCGGUGCCGCCUUCGACCUUCGCCAUGCUGCGGACGCCGCCCCGCAUCUUCCAACGCGCUCCAUCCACUCCUGUAACGCGUCCGCGGGUUGUUUCAACUCCACAGCUGUUCGAUGACCUCACCCUGCAGGCCACUCCAAACAGGCUUCGCAUGCUGAGCCUAUACUCUGCCAUCACCGGGGACGAUGUUUUCUGCUCCCCCGUCGCCACCGCCUCCGCCGUCGCCACUGCUGCCACCACCAUGCCGACCCUCAGGGCGCCCUUACCGGCAAACGAGGACGGGCAGGAGGAGGACACUAAAUCCGUCCAGUACGCGGAUGACGAAGAGUCCCUGCUGAACGACUACCCGCACCGAGAUCUCAUCAUGGACUUUAUGCGCUAG